rnacentral:rRNA from 1 species
UACAGAGGUCCCAAGCGUUGUUCGGAUUCAUUGGGCGUAAAGGGCGCGUAGGCGGUUUGACAAGUCUGAUGUGAAAUCUCUGGGCUCAACCCAGAGUCUGCAUUAGAAACUGUCGGGCUUGAGUAUGGGAGAGGUGAGUGGAAUUUCCGGUGUAGCGGUGAAAUGCGUAGAUAUCAGGAGGAACACCGGUGGCGAAGGCGGUUCUCUGGGCAUUACCUGACGCUGAGGAGCGAAAGUGUGGGGAGCGAACAGG